UACGGAGGGUGCGAGCGUUAUCCGGAUUCACUGGGUUUAAAGGGUGCGUAGGUGGGCAGGUAAGUCAGUGGUGAAAUCUCCGGGCUUAACCCGGAAACUGCCAUUGAUACUAUCAGUCUUGAAUGCCGUGGAGGUAAGCGGAAUAUGUCAUGUAGCGGUGAAAUGCUUAGAUAUGACAUAGAACACCAAUUGCGAAGGCAGCUUACUACACAAUGAUUGACACUGAGGCACGAAAGCGUGGGGAUCAAACAGG
rnacentral:rRNA from 1 species